ACGUAGGCAGCGAGCGUUGUUCGGAGUUACUGGGCGUAAAGAGUAUGUAGGCGGUUCUCCAAGUCUGGUGUGAAAUCUCCCGGCUCAACUGGGAGGGUGCGCCGAAAACUGCCUGGCUCGAGUGCCGGAGAGGAAAGCGGAAUUCCUGGUGUAGCGGUGAAAUGCGUAGAUAUCAGGAGGAACACCGGUGGUGUAGACGGCUUUCUGGACGGCCACUGACGCUGAGGCACGAAAGCGUGGGGAGCAAACAG
rnacentral:rRNA from 1 species